AAGAAUUUAAGUUAUAUAAACUUUUGACCUUCAAAGUCAAAUAAAGAAAUUUUUCUAAUUCUU
rnacentral:tRNA from 1 species